UUCGCCCUUAGAGUUUGAUCCUGGCUCAGGAUGAACGCUGGCGGCGUGCUUAACACAUGCAAGUCGAACGGACUUUACAUGAAACCUAGUGAUUGUAAAGUUAGUGGCGGACGGGUGAGUAACGCGUGAAUAACCUGCCUUGUACUGGGGGACAACAGUUGGAAACGGCUGCUAAUACCGCAUAAGCGCACGAUUCCGCAUGGAACAGUGUGAAAAACUGAGGUGGUACAAGAUGGAUCCGCGUCUGAUUAGCCAGUUGGCGGGGUAACGGCCCACCAAAGCGACGAUCAGUAGCCGGCCUGAGAGGGUGAACGGCCACAUUGGGACUGAGACACGGCCCAGACUCCUACGGGAGGCAGCAGUGGGGAAUAUUGCACAAUGGGGGGAACCCUGAUGCAGCGAUGCCGCGUGGAGGAAGAAGGUUUUCGGAUUGUAAACUCCUGUCUUAAGGGACGAUAAUGACGGUACCUUAGGAGGAAGCUCCGGCUAACUACGUGCCAGCAGCCGCGGUAAUACGUAGGGAGCGAGCGUUGUCCGGAAUUACUGGGUGUAAAGGGAGCGUAGGCGGGAUUGCAAGUCAGAUGUGAAAACUAUGGGCUUAACCCAUAGACUGCAUUUGAAACUGUAGUUCUUGAGUGAAGUAGAGGUAAGCGGAAUUCCUAGUGUAGCGGUGAAAUGCGUAGAUAUUAGGAGGAACAUCGGUGGCGAAGGCGGCUUACUGGGCUUUUACUGACGCUGAGGCUCGAAAGCGUGGGGAGCAAACAGGAUUAGAUACCCUGGUAGUCCACGCUGUAAACGAUGAUUACUAGGUGUGGGGGGACUGACCCCUUCCGUGCCGCAGUCAACACAAUAAGUAAUCCACCUGGGGAGUACGACCGCAAGGUUGAAACUCAAAGGAAUUGACGGGGGCCCGCACAAGCAGUGGAGUAUGUGGUUUAAUUCGAAGCAACGCGAAGAACCUUACCAGGUCUUGACAUCGAGUGACGAGCUAAGAGAUUAGCUUUCCUUUCGGGGCACGAAGACAGGUGGUGCAUGGUUGUCGUCAGCUCGUGUCGUGAGAUGUUGGGUUAAGUCCCGCAACGAGCGCAACCCUUACCAUUAGUUGCUACGCAAGAGCACUCUAAUGGGACUGCCGUUGACAAAACGGAGGAAGGUGGGGAUGACGUCAAAUCAUCAUGCCCCUUAUGACCUGGGCUACACACGUACUACAAUGGCAAUUAACAAAGAGCAGCAAAGCCGCGAGGUGGAGCGAAUCUCCAAAAAUUGUCCCAGUUCAGAUUGCAGGCUGCAACUCGCCUGCAUGAAGUCGGAAUUGCUAGUAAUCGUAGAUCAGCAUGCUACGGUGAAUACGUUCCCGGGCCUUGCACUCACCGCCCGUCA
rnacentral:rRNA from 1 species